rnacentral:rRNA from 1 species
CGCAUGGCGAGCCUGACGGAGCGACGCCGCGUGAGCGAUGAAGGUCUUCGGAUCGUAAAGCUCUGUUGUUAGGGAAGAACAAGUACCGGAGUAACUGCCGGUACCUUGACGGUACCUAACCAGAAAGCCCCGGCUAACUACGUGCCAGCAGCCGCGGUAAU